AGCCAACAUCCCAGCUCACUGGAAACAAACCGACAUACCUACUAAAAAAGAAUGGAUCCACAGGGUGGAAGAGAUCCAAGGAGCAGAAGCAGCAUACGCCACUCUAACAGGUCGGGAGACCAGGCACGCAGAGAGGUGGACGCCGUGGUUCUUGUACAUAUCUCGCUACCGCAGUAAUGGAGGUGCACCGGGGCCCGAAGUGGGGGCACGGCCUGACGCGAGCUAAGCCAGAGGGAUCAUACCCUGUGUAACCUGCUUACCCCUACCCCUUGCCCUUCCCACUCUCUUAUCCUUCUUGCCGGCGGGUGGGGGGCCGGGCCCGGGGCUGGGGGGAUCUGCUGAGGGCGCUUUGCGGAACUACAAACAACACCUUACACUGGGAGAGUCACAAGGGACCUGGACACUACACCAAUUGAGGUACUAUGACUCAGGAUAACUCAUUAUAGACGGGAGAUACUUGGAUAUCAAGCGGGACGAACACAUGGCAAGUUACUUGAUGAACAUCCCAAACCGGAUAGACCUGUGACACCUUUCACUCUUGCACAGUAGUAACACCCACAUCACACAACACUUUGACACUUCUCUCAUGAUAUACAGGAGAGGGAAGCCCCAAGCACUUUUUUUUAGACACAGAGGCACAUGGUCGCUACGCGAGCUCAGCAUAGAGUUACGGUUGAGGGAAAAUCGAUGGGUCAGAUGAGGGGCCCAGGUUGGUUGCUGGUCCCGACUUCCGGGUUGGCCUAGCAAUCAGGGUUCCCAUCACACAACAUGUUGCCACACCCACCGUACCUAGAGUAAAGCACAGGUACCAUUAACGAUAACCGGCUUCAUAACAAAUACCUCAUCUGAGAGAUGAGAAAUACAUAUAGGUGUUUUCUAUAAUAAACUUCAUAUAAAAGGUUGGGCUCGACAGAAGUAACCCCGGGAAUACUCCAUGCUCAUUGCUCACCAACCACGACUAUAACAAGAGAUUUGGCCUAGUGCACAAGACCUCCCAUGUUCAUUUAUAAUACCCUGCUGAAUGUAAACUAAUGGGCAACUGGGCUCAGUCACCUAACUGGCAAGUAUAGACACUAUCAUGACCAACUUGGUAGCGACAACCUAAGGUUUAAUAUACUUAUGUUUGAUUUGAAUUCUUAUACGUAUAUACACAGACCUGCGUGUCUUGCUCUGUUAUUGUCGAU
rnacentral:lncRNA from 1 species